rnacentral:lncRNA from 1 species
ACAGAAUCAGUGAGUGCUGGAGAUGGCUCCGAGGGCAGCACUUUAUCUACUAAGGCAAAACGCACCUGAUGGAGGAAAGAGAGGAGUCCAGUAGAGAAGAAGGAAACUAAUGACUUCAUCCAGAGGAGAUCUAAUCCUCAUCUGUCCAAAUGCUCUUCUGCCGGGAACAUCCUUGGGAGCUGUUCCUGAUGUAGUCAUUGAAGAAUGGAGUCAAGAAGAAAGGCUGAUUUUGAAAGAGAUCUUUUAUUUAGAGGUGGCAGCGUGAUCUCCACCUUGCCAGGGAGUUGGACCCAUGGCAACCUUGAAGCCAGGAUUCAAGCAGGGAUGCUGCAAGCCAGCUGGUCCAGAUAUGGAAGCCUGAGAAAGUCACGGUUCCUUGGACUCAAGUCUGAGAGAAGUUUUGGACUCCGAGCUGGGACUGUCCUCUAUGGAACUGAGCUAAACUAUGAGCCUAAUCCCAUUCUCCACCCCAGAGAUCGAAGGGAUGCAAGACAGAGGAGAAUUAUACUUCCCCCAUGUUGGGGAAGUUCUUAUGUUUGUCAUUACAUCUUCUGAAGUAAUUUCUGAAGAUAUUUCUUUGUAAAAACUAAUCUGUUAAUGGAAAAUGGAAACCCUACAGGUGAGGGAACACUAUUAAUAGGGGCUAGAGCCAUUUGCAGAGAGCC